ACUGAGUUUGGUCCCAUCAUCUACAAGCUAGAGCACUUGCAAACAUUUCAGUACAGACGACAUUUCGUGAUGCAGAUGAUGACCACCCUAGCAUUGAAAUUGUCUUGGCCAGUCCCUUCUAGAGUCAGUGAAAGCUGGUGUCUUUUACAUGCAAAAUUUUGUGUGUACGUGAGGAUGGCAGGUCACAUGGAUCACAUCGGGAUUUUCAUGUAAUCACUUUCAAUACGAGACAUUGAUUCCUUGAGAUUAAUCCAAGAUUGUCGUAACGUAAAGAUUAAUAAUUAUUUCUAUUUCACCACCACCUGCCCAACAUCAACAGUCCUCCCCUCCACUUCCUCCCACUACUACAACCUCAGCUAUAAAAGUUUCAGCAGGUUCCCUCUCCUGCGUCUCCCAGACAACAGAAGAUUGGUUCCCGCUGAUCAACAGGACUGCAGUCGUCAGCAGCAUCAGCCCAACAGAAGACAGGAACAUCAGAGGUCCCGUAGUCUGACAACAAACUUCUUCAUUACCAUGAAGACUCCGCGCCUCAUAGUCACUCUGUGCUUGAUGCUCGUCCUCGAGGCGAUGAUCGCUGAAACUUUUAGCACAGAGGAGGAGGAAGGCCUGCAAAAACGAGGAAAGUUCAUUGAAAAAUUAAAAAACUUUGGCACGAAAAUCAAAGGCGCUUUCGGAAGAAUAAAGAACAAAAUUAAGAACAUGAGAACUAAACCUCAACCUGAAGAACAGCCAGAUGGAGAAAACCAAGGCGGGGAUGAAGCCUCUGAACAAGGCGACAGCCAACAAUAUCUGAAAUAAGUGACAGGAGGUCAACGAUGUCGUCUACCUGUCUCCCUAACAGGACCUAUGAGGACUUCGCUCAGCGGUCAACAAGUUUCAGCUCUUAUAACAUUCUUGUUUAUAUAACAAAUGUUUGCUUUUGCUGGACUUUUUCGUUAAAUUCAAUUUCCUAAUAAAAAAAAAACUUUGCAUUUAUUCAG